GGGGUGUGCGACGCAGGAAAGGGGAGGAGAGGGGAAAACCCUUCUUCUCCAAAUCAUCAAGAACUUAUCAAUUGGAGGCGUUUAUGGAUGAAAUUCGUAUGCAUGUGAUCGAUUUCUCAAUCAUCUAAGGGUUUCCAACAUGGGGAACGUGUCAAGGAGAGGUCAAGCAUAGGAGGAUAACGGGUCAAGAUAAGGCAAGGUGACAAAUACACUUAUUGGAGUACUCGAGGUAAGUGAAUUUCGAUUCACUUUUUAGUAGGUUUAAUAGAUUUUAAUACUUAUGUUUAUGAAACAUCAUGAAAGAACAUGUAAUAAUCAGAAGUACAAAGCUAAUAAUGCCUCAUUAUUGAAGAAGGUUGUUAUUUAAGCCGAAAGUAAAUUGGUGGGUUUAAACGGGUCAAAUUUUAUGUGAAUGUGUUGCGUAAUGUAAUGAAAUUCGUUAUGGUUAAGACCUUGGGUAAGAAUUUUUAGUCAUUUAUGUAAGGGGAACAUUUUCCGGACCAUUAGGAACAAGUUUUAUAUGAUUUGGUUGUGUAUGGGUCAGGAUAUGGUAGUUUUAAUGUUUAAAAUGGAAGUUGAGUUGGGCACUACCGUAGCUUACGGUAGCCACCGUAAGCUACGGUGGGUUCUGAAGUCUUUCUGGCCACCGUAAGGCAGUAGCACUUCACCGUAAGGGUUUUAUGGCCACCGUAAGCUACGGUAGCCACCGUAGCUUACGGUGGAGCUGUCGCGCCCUGCGUAAUAGUAAGCUAUGGCUUACGCGACCCGCGAGGGACCGUGCUGUUGGCUUUUUGCUGAAAUUGUGAUGUUUUGAGUAUGGGACUUGUCUAAAAAUGAUUUUUCUAAGGCCACAUACGUUAUGUUAAGGAUGGUUUCGUAUAUCAAUGAUGUUAAAGGUUGUCGGUUAGUGAAUGAACGGAUUGUUUCGUGUUAGUGUAGGAAAUUUAUAAGUAUAUAUAUAUAUGUAUGUAUGUAUGUAUGAUAAUAAGUAUGUAGGUGCGAAUGUAUGUGUGAAUGAAUGUUCAAUGCUUAAGACAUAUGCAUGAACGUUAUCAAAGUGCUCGAGUAUUUAUGGUUACUAAUGAUGUGCGUUGAGUUGGAAUGUAAUGUAGGUAUGGGAUUGUUGGCUUCAUGAAGAAAUGGAGCUGGAUUUGGAUAAGAGUAUUUAAGAAAGCGCUUGGACAAUUCCACGAUUACUUUAUAGAAUGCUCUACGAAAUUCUAUUAUAUAGUUUAAUGUUGUAUGGUAUGUUAAUGACUAAUGGUUUGGUUGUACGUGGUGUCCACAGGUAUCGCUUGGGUUUUCUCUACAUUUAUUGAAGUGAAGCGGACUUAGUUCGAGUUGAGAGCAAGGAUUGUACGGGGUAGAAUGGUCACAUAGUGUAACUCAUAUAGGUUUUGAAGUAUUAAUGUUAUAAAACGUUAUAAAUCCGUUUUAAUGAAUAUAUGGCAUUUCGCAUUUGA
rnacentral:lncRNA from 1 species